rnacentral:rRNA from 1 species
UACGGAGGGUGCAAGCGUUGUCCGGAUUUAUUGGGUUUAAAGGGUGCGUAGGUGGCCUCUUAAGUCUGCUUUGAAAGCUGGUCGCUUAACGAUCAGGGGUGGGUGGAUACUGGGGGGCUUGGAUCAGGUGGCGGUUUCUGGAACGGGUCGUGUAGCGGUGAAAUGCAUAGAUAUGACCCAGAACUCCGAUUGCGAAGGCAGGAGGCUACGCCUGGAUUGACACUGAGGCACGAGAGCAUGGGGAGCAAACAGG